GUGCUGGCUGGGUGCUCACGCAUACUAAAAUUGGAACGAUACAGAGAAGAUUAGCAUGGCCCCUGAGCAAGGAUGACACGCAAAUUCGUGAAGCAUUCUAUAUAUAU